AGAGUUUGAUCCUGGCUCAGAUUGAACGCUGGCGGCAUGCCUUACACAUGCAAGUCGAACGGUAACGGGCCUUCGGGUGCCGACGAGUGGCGAACGGGUGAGUAAUGUAUCGGAACGUACCUUUCAGUGGGGGAUAACGUAGCGAAAGUUACGCUAAUACCGCAUAUUCUGUGAGCAGGAAAGCAGGGGAUCGCAAGACCUUGCGCUGAUUGAGCGGCCGAUAUCAGAUUAGCUAGUUGGUGAGGUAAAGGCUCACCAAGGCGACGAUCUGUAGCGGGUCUGAGAGGAUGAUCCGCCACACUGGAACUGAGACACGGUCCAGACUCCUACGGGAGGCAGCAGUGGGGAAUUUUGGACAAUGGGGGCAACCCUGAUCCAGCCAUGCCGCGUGAGUGAAGAAGGCCUUCGGGUUGUAAAGCUCUUUCGGCCGGGAAGAAAUCGCAUGGGUUAAUACCCUGUGCGGAUGACGGUACCGGCAUAAGAAGCACCGGCUAACUACGUGCCAGCAGCCGCGGUAAUACGUAGGGUGCGAGCGUUAAUCGGAAUUACUGGGCGUAAAGCGUGCGUAGGUGGUUUUUUAAGCUGGAUGUGAAAGCCCCGGGCUUAACCUGGGAACUGCAUUCAGGACUGGGAAACUCGAGUCUGGGAGAGGGUGGUGGAAUUUCCGGUGUAGCGGUGAAAUGCGUAGAUAUCGGAAGGAACAUCAGUGGCGAAGGCGACCGCCUGGCCUAAGACUGACACUGAGGCACGAAAGCGUGGGGAGCAAACAGGAUUAGAUACCCUGGUAGUCC
rnacentral:rRNA from 1 species